GAUGAACGCUGGCGGCGUGCCUAAUACAUGCAAGUCGAGCGAACAGACGAGGAGCUUGCUCCUCUGACGUUAGCGGCGGACGGGUGAGUAACACGUGGAUAACCUACCUAUAAGACUGGGAUAACUUCGGGAAACCGGAGCUAAUACCGGAUAAUAUAUUGAACCGCAUGGUUCAAUAGUGAAAGACGGUUUUGCUGUCACUUAUAGAUGGAUCCGCGCCGCAUUAGCUAGUUGGUAAGGUAACGGCUUACCAAGGCAACGAUGCGUAGCCGACCUGAGAGGGGGAUCGGCCACACUGGAACUGAGACACGGUCCAGACUCCUACGGGAGGCAGCAGUAGGGAAUCUUCCGCGAUGGGCGAAAGCCUGACGGAGCAACGCCGCGUGAGUGAUGAAGGUCUUCGGAUCGUAAAACUCUGUUAUUAGGGAAGAACAAAUGUGUAAGUAACUAUGCACGUCUUGACGGUACCUAAUCAGAAAGCCACGGCUAACUACGUG
rnacentral:rRNA from 1 species